GCUGCGGUGAGCUGAGAUCGUGCCACUGGGCAACAAGAACAAAAUUCCAAUCUCAGAAGAAAAAAAAAAGGAAUAACACAUUAUGAUCGAGUAAGGUUUAUCCCAAGAAUUUGAAGAUGACUCAACAUCAGCAAGUCUAUUAAUGUAUUUCCCUUUAUUAACAUAUUAAAGAAGAGAAAACAAUAUCAUCUCAAUUAAUGAAAAAAAAAUCCAUCUCAAAAUUGAGUACUCAUCCUGAUGAGAAGAAAAACUUUUAACAAGAAAAAAAGAUACUUCCUGAAGUUGAUAAAGCUUGUCUACCAGAAACCUACAGAGUAAAUCUCACAGUUGAUGAUUAAAAAAAAAAAAACUCAUUUGUGGCAGUUACCAAUUUACUGCCUGUCAGCUCCAAAUCCACCUCUUUGCUUUGUGAAAGUGGAUGCUUGCUGUGAACGUUUUUCUUGCCAGCUGACAAAAUGCUAAGCUGUGUCAGUAGAGGGCGCUGGAGGCACACGACAGGAGGGCGUCUCACUGUCCGGUCACCAGAGUGCGGCUGCCAGCGGUAUGUGGGUGGGACACCCGGCCGCACUUGUCCACCCACACGUUUUACUGAGACCGCGCAGGAGGAUUCCUGCUGGCCAAACACGUUAUGACCUAGUAGGGUUUAUCCCAGGAAUUUAAAGAUGACUCAAAUCAGCAACUCUCUCAAUGUAUUCUACUUUAUUAACAUAUUAAAGGAGAAAAAAUAACUCAAUGGACAAAAAAACUGUUUUUCUUUUUUUUUUUUCCCUAAUUGAGUACGCAUCCAGAUUAGGAAAACAAAACAAAACAACAAAAAAAACUUUUAGUAAGGUAUCUGUCACCUAACCACCAUUAAUCUCCCAUUUUGACUAGUGGCCACGCUGUCACUUUGGGUCCCCGUGCAUGAACAUCAAUUCAGAGCCAAUGCUUCAGUCAUCUCAGAAGGCCUGGGUAGUUUGCUUUCCCCAGUGCACAGUCACUCUGUAAAUAGCACAGGUCUUCUGAGUAGGGCCUAGAGGGAGACUUACAGUAGGUACUUGCAGCAGGGCUGCAGAGUUCAUUCUUUGGGGGAAAUCCCCCCACACCCUCACACCCCAGUUCAUAAAGGGGCCCUGGGGCUGUGAACUGACUCAGUCCUAAGAGCUAGGGGAGAGGCCGUGACUCUCUGCUGUGGUGAUUCAAAUCAGGUUUCUGGCUACCAGACCCAGAAUUUUUUUCUGUUAUACUUGAGUAGGCAGCCCAACAAUUUUGUUCCUAGAGAUACCAUCAUUCAUUAGCCAUUGCCAAGAAUCCCAGUGGCCAAAGGCAUUCUGAUUACAUCUCUGCCGCCCUUCGUGGUAAAUGUGCCCACCUUAUCUCUGACAAUUAAGUGCUCCCAAUUAUCCGGAGGCACUUCAGGAUCCCAUCACCCCACUGAUACCAGGAAGCUCAUCUCAAUGACAACAUCCUUAGGGUCACACCUGCCUAUGUAGGAAAGCAAGCACAGAGCUUUUAGAGAGGCAGAUGCUCCCCUCACUAUUCUAUUUCUCAAUGUCUUAGUAAAGAAGUGUCUUCUGGGCCUUCUCAUGGUUAGGAAUGGGUGCUUGGUGGUAGACGUGUAAGUCACACAUGAUAAAUCCACUGUGACAUUCCUGUCUCCCUACAUCUUUGGAUUCUCUCCCCCAAAUCAUAGCAGGGAAGCUCUGACAUCUCCACCUCAUCAAAUGUAGGCAAAUGUUGAGUCACCUCCUGCUGCUCAAGCUAAACCAUGAAAUCCAGACUCUCUGGUAAGUGCAUCUAUAUCAAUGAAUUAAACAAAUGGAGUGUGAUAGCCUACCCUGUUGGAUCUAACACUCUUAGAAUCAACUCGACAUGUUUCCCAGGUUUCUUCCAAUAUUUAUUAGCAAAAUCUUACCAUUCUUUUGGUGUGUAAGUGAUUUCCUUCUGAGUUAGUUAUCUGAGUUUUAUGUCCCACUGUAACAUGCUAAGAUUUGACCCUAGUUAUGGAUCCAGUGACAACAGGGGUGACUGUACCAGGUCUGAAGAGUGAGCCGUUUCCAAGGCAUCCUCCCAGAUGAAGUUAUCACAGGGGUGACUGUACCAGGUCUGAAGAGCAACCCUUUCCAAGGCAUCCUCCCAGAUGAAGUUAUCACAGGGGUGACUGUACCAGGUCUGAAGAGCAACCCUUUCCAAGGCACCCUCCCAGAUGAAGUUAUCACAGGGGUGACUGUACCACGUCUGAAGAGUGACCCCUUUCCCAGGCAUCCUCCCAGAUGAAGUUAUCACAGGGGUGACUGUACCAGGUCUGAAGAGCAACCCUUUCCCAGGCAUCCUCCCAGAUGAAGUUAUCACAGGGGUGGUGACUGUACCAGGUGUGAAGAGCGAGCAACCCUUUCCAAGGCAUCCUCCCAGAUGAAGUUAUCACAGGGGUGACUGUACCAGGUCUGAACAGUGAGCCCUUUCCAAGGCAUCCUCCCAGAUGAAGUUAUCACAGGGGUGACUGUACCAGGUCUGAAGAGCGAUCCCUUUCCAAGGCACCCUCCCAGAUGAAGUUAUCACAGGGGUGAAUGUACCAGGUCUGAAGAGUGACCCCUUUCCCAGGCAUCCUCCCAGAUGAAGUUAUCACAGGGGUGACUGUACCAGGUCUGAAGAGCAACCCUUUCCAAGGCAUCCUCCCAGAUGAAGUUAUCACAGGGGUGACUGUACCACGUCUGAAGAGUGACCCCUUUCCCAGGCAUCCUCCCAGAUGAAGUUAUCACAGGGGUGACUGUACCAGGUCUGAAGAGCAAGCAACCCUUUCCAAGGCACCCUCCCAGAUGAAGUUAUCACAGGGGUGGUGACUGUACCAGGUCUGAAGAGCAACCCUUUCCAAGGCACCCUCCCAGAUGAAGUUAUCACAGGGGUGGUGACUGUACCAGGUCUGAAGAGCGAGCAACCCUUUCCCAGGCAUCCUCCCAGAUGAAGUCAUCACAGGGGUGGUGACUGUACCAGGUCUGAAGAGUGACCCCUUUCCCAGGCAUCCUCCCAGAUGAAGUUAUCACAGGGGUGACUGUACCAGGUCUGAAGAGCAAGCAACCCUUUCCAAGGCACCCUCCCAGAUGAAGUUAUCACAGGGGUGACUGUACCAGGUCUGAAGAGCGAGCAACCCUUUCCAAGGCAUCCUCCCAGAUGAAGUUAUCACAGGAUCUUCAGGCAAAGGAAGUGCGGUGUCCUCAGACACAGGAGGGCAGGGUACUUCCGCUGCCAAGGGAGCUUUAAAGUGAUUUGCCAGUUUCAUCCGAAUCUGAGCAGGUGUUCUCAUUCCAAGUUUCAGGGUCCUGUUCUUUCCCUGUGAGUGCUCUAACUUGCAUAUCAGUAACUUGGCAUGACUAUGACAAACUCAUGUGUAAUCCUGACUAAAACACCAGAACAGUGGUGUUGUAUUAACAACCAAUAAUAGAAAAAGGAUUCCCCAUUGUCACUACUACAACCAACAAGUACACUGGACUUUCUAGCUAGACAACAAGCCAUGAAAUGAAAACAGACAUAUAAAUAAUAAAAAGGAUAAUAUAAAAUUGUUAUUUGCAUGCAGUAAGAUUUUCCACCUAGGAAAUCCAAAUGAAUCCACUGAAAAACCAUUAGAGGGUUUAACAAAUCCACAGCAAUACACAAAAGAAAUACCUUUCCACAUACCAUACACUUAGAGACAGAACCAAGAAGGUUUCGCAAUGUUAUCACAGAAAAACCUGGAAACAACCUAAAUCUACUGACAGAAUGGUUCACUAAAUUUCAGUAUAUUCUGAGUGUGAGAUAUAUUCUAUCAAUCAGCUGUACUGCUACAGAAAACAUUAAAAACAAAGUAAAUGUAAGAAGAAAACAACAGGCUCUGGAACACUAUAUAUAGCAUGAUCCAAUUUACUUAAGAAACAAAUACUAGGCCGGGUGCAGUGGCUCAUGCCUGUAAUCCCAGCACUUUGGGAGGCUGAGGCCAGCAGAUCACUUGAGGGCAGGAGUUCAAGACCAGCCUGACCAACAUGGUGAAACCCCAUCUCUACCAAAAAUACAAAAAUUAGCCAGGUGUGGUGGCAGGUGCAUGUAAUCCCAGCUACUCGGGAGGCUGGCAGGAGAAUCACUUGAACCUGGAGGCAGAGGUUGCAGUGAGCCGAGAUCGCGCCAUUGCACUCCAGCCUGGGCAACAGAGCAAGACUCCUCUCAAAAACAAAACAAAACAAAAAACCACCACUGAGAAUAGGUAUGUUUUUAGGUAUAAGUAUGUAUAUGAAAAGAAAUACAUGUGGAAGAAACUUCCCUUCAGAAAGGGGAGUAAUUUAAGAGGGCUUUCACUUUCUUUAACCUAUGUAUUUCUGUCUGAAAUUGUAGCUGGACGUGGUGGUGCACACCUGUAGUCCCAGCUACUCAGGAGGCUGAGGUGGGAGGAUCACUUGGGCCCAGGAGUUUGAGGCUGCAGUGAGCUAUGGUGGCACCACUGCACUGAAGCCUGGGAAACAGAGAGAGACCCUGUCCCUAAAAAAUAAAAAAUAAAAAAAUAUAUACUUA